AAAGGAAUAGACGGGGACCCGCACAACCAGUGGAGCGUGUGGUUCAAUUCGAGACAAAGCGAAGAACCUCACCAGGGUUUGACAUGCUACCGUACAGUCCUGCAGAAAUGCGGGAUAAUCCGCAAGGAUGGUAGCACAGGUGCUGCAUGGUUGUCGUCAGCUCGUGCCGUGAGGUGUUCCCUUAAGUGGGGAAACGAGUGCAACCCUUGUCCUGUGUUAAAUUGUUCACAGGAGACUGCCCCGUUUUUGCGGGGAGGAAGGAGAGGCGGACGUCAAAUCAGCAUGGCCCUUAUACCCUGGGCUACACACACCCUACAAUGGCGAAGAACAAUGAGUCGCAAGCUCGCGAGGGCAAGCUAAUCUCUGAAAUUUCGCCCCAGUUCAGAUUGGAGUCUGCAAUUCGACUCCAUGAAGGAGGAAUUGGUAGUAAUCGCGCAUCAGAAGGGCGCGGUGAAUACGUUCUCGGGUCUUGUACACACCGCCCGU
rnacentral:rRNA from 1 species